UACGUAGGGUGCGAGCGUUAAUCGGAAUUACUGGGCGUAAAGUGUACGCAGGCGGCGUCGCAAGUCGAGUGUGAAAGCCCCGGGCUUAACUUGGGAAUUGCGCUCGAAACUACGAUGCUGGAGUGUGGCAGAGGAAGGUGGAAUUCCACGUGUAGCGGUGAAAUGCGUAGAGAUGUGGAGGAACACCAAUGGCGAAGGCAGCCUUCUGGGCCAACACUGACGCUCAUGCACGAAAGCGUGGGGAGCAAACAGG
rnacentral:rRNA from 1 species